CAUGCAAGUCGAACGAUGAUCCCAGCUUGCUGGGGGAUUAGUGGCGAACGGGUGAGUAACACGUGAGUAACCUGCCCUUGACUCUGGGAUAAGCCUGGGAAACUGGGUCUAAUACCGGAUAUGACUCCUCAUCGCAUGGUGGGGGGUGGAAAGCUUUUGUGGUUUUGGAUGGACUCGCGGCCUAUCAGCUUGUUGGUGGGGUAAUGGCCUACCAAGGCGACGACGGGUAGCCGGCCUGAGAGGGUGACCGGCCACACUGGGACUGAGACACGGCCCAGACUCCUACGGGAGGCAGCAGUGGGGAAUAUUGCACAAUGGGCGCAAGCCUGAUGCAGCGACGCCGCGUGAGGGAUGACGGCCUUCGGGUUGUAAACCUCUUUCAGUAGGGAAGAAGCGUAAGUGACGGUACCUGCAGAAGAAGCGCCGGCUAACUACGUGCCAGCAGCCGCGGUAAUACGUAGGGCGCAAGCGUUAUCCGGAAUUAUUGGGCGUAAAGAGCUCGUAGGCGGUUUGUCGCGUCUGCUGUGAAAGACCGGGGCUCAACUCCGGUUCUGCAGUGGGUACGGGCAGACUAGAGUGCAGUAGGGGAGACUGGAAUUCCUGGUGUAGCGGUGAAAUGCGCAGAUAUCAGGAGGAACACCGAUGGCGAAGGCAGGUCUCUGGGCUGUAACUGACGCUGAGGAGCGAAAGCAUGGGGAGCGAACAGGAUUAGAUACCCUGGUAGUCCAUGCCGUAAACGUUGGGCACUAGGUGUGGGGGACAUUCCACGUUUUCCGCGCCGUAGCUAACGCAUUAAGUGCCCCGCCUGGGGAGUACGGCCGCAAGGCUAAAACUCAAA
rnacentral:rRNA from 1 species